rnacentral:rRNA from 1 species
AUUGAACGCUGGCGGCAUGCCUUACACAUGCAAGUCGAACGGCAGCACGGGAGCAAUCCUGGUGGCGAGUGGCGAACGGGUGAGUAAAGCAUCGGAACGUGCCCAGUCGUGGGGGAUAACGUAGCGAAAGCUACGCUAAUACCGCAUACGAUCUGUGGAUAAAAGCGGGGGACCGUAAGGCCUCGCGCGAUUGGAGCGGCCGAUGUCAGAUUAGGUAGUUGGUGAGGUAAAGGCUCACCAAGCCGACGAUCUGUAGCUGGUCUGAGAGGACGACCAGCCACACUGGGACUGAGACACGGCCCAGACUCCUACGGGAGGCAGCAGUGGGGAAUUUUGGACAAUGGGCGCAAGCCUGAUCCAGCAAUGCCGCGUGCAGGAUGAAGGCCUUCGGGUUGUAAACUGCUUUUGUACGGAGCGAAACGGCUUCCACUAAUACUGGGGGCUAAUGACGGUACCGUAAGAAUAAGCACCGGCUAACUACGUGCCAGCAGCCGCCGUAACAC